GUUUGAGACUUGAGUUGAUGUUUGCGACAUAUUCAUUUUUCAAUUUUCCGUCUACGCCAUAUUAUGUCUACUUUUUUGAUAGGUCUAGGUCGUUUAUAAUCUCGUAUCAAGCUGGAAAGUUAUCGAAACGCUCGAUCACAAAGGGCGUGAACAAAAAAAUUUCCAAGAUUGCAGUCGUAUGCCAAUAAUAAUACUUCCCUCAAAUGCUGCUAUUUAGACACGGCUGUGCCAAGCAUAAACUCAAAUCGAGAAAACAAGAUUAAGAUCGUGUUGCGGGGAGGGGCUUGAAACCAUUACGAAACUUAACUGCGCAGUAUUAAUACACACGAAUAAACCGAAAUAAUUCAAACAGAAAUCAUUUAAAACCAAUAUACUGUUGAUACUAAAAAUGUAACAAAAUCUUACGAUUAUUCAUAACUAAUCAUAACUAUUUCU